rnacentral:rRNA from 1 species
UACGUAGGGGGCGAGCGUUGUCCGGAUUAUUGGGCGUAAAGAGCUCGUAGGCGGUUUGGUAAGUUGGAUGUGAAAUCUCCAGGCUCAACUUGGAGGGGUCAUUCGAUACUGCCAUGACUAGAGUUCGGUAGGGGAGUGUGGAAUUCCUGGUGGAGCGGUGAAAUGCGCAGAUAGUCAGGAGGAACACCCGUAGCGAAGGCGGCACUCUGGGCCGGAACUGACGCUGAGGAGCGAAAGCGUGGGGAGCGAACAGG